GGGCUUCCAUUGCUCAGCAUCUCCAUUUCGGGGAGCUUGGCAUCUGUCUAAUCGGAACUUCUGGAUUUCUCCUUCUUUAGCUAUAAUGUGGCUGUUUCCUGUGGUGGUGGUGGUGGUGGUGGCAGCUGCUGUGAUCUUCCUGAUUCUCUUCCUGAGUUAUGGCUAUCGUAGACUGUAAAACCUCUCAAAAGGUAAAGAUCCUGUUUUCAGAAGAAACCGAAGAACGGGUCAAGCAGGAACAGGUCAAGAGUGGGUCAAGCAGUAACAUGGACCGCUCUCGUGGAUUUAGAAGAAGCCUCCUUCAAGCGGUUUGUGUUGGUUUCCAUACAUGGAUCCCCCACUGGAACCUCAUUUUGAUACCCAAAACCUGGAUAUCUGCAGAGCAUUUAAGCUAAAAAUGACGGGUGGAUUCAUUUUGAUGGAUCCACCAUUUGUCUUAAAAUUGAGCCCGUUGCCUGGCGAGGUAUGUCAAGUACACUUUAGGUCAAAUAAUAGCCCAGGGCUGCUUUUUAAUCUUUUCAAGGCAAUUUGCUUUGCCCACAACUUGGGUGAGGAGCAAAAGGAAGCGUGUGUGUAUGUGGGACCUCAUAUUUUAUUCCAGGAUAGGCAAUCCAAUAGCCAAACAUUGCAAAAUCCUUUACAUCAAGGACCUGUAUACAGGUCAGAAAGAGGGCUGAGAAAAUACGGUAUCUACCCACCUCUCACAUCUUGGUCGUGAACUUUCUCCUCCUCCCCUCAGGACGCUGCUAUAGGGCAUUGCACACCAAGACAAGCAGGCAGAGAGACGGUUUCUGCCUUUGUGCCAUCACUCUGCUGAACCCCCGAUUCCCACAGUGCUGUCUUACGCCUAAGGAUUAUUUACCCACGUAGUAAGACUGUAUUACUAAUAUCCUUUUCAUCUUUCCUACUACCUCCUCCUAUUGGUAUCAGUAUUAUGAUUACAUAUAUAAUGUGAA